UACGUAGGCAGCAAGCGUUGUUCGGAAUUACUGGGCGUAAAGAGUGCGUAGGCGGCUUCUUAAGUCUGGUGUGAAAUCUCCCGGCUCAACUGGGAGGGUGCGCCGGAUACUGAGGGGCUAGAGUGUGGGAGAGGAAAGUGGAAUUCCUGGUGUAGCGGUGAAAUGCGUAGAUAUCAGGAGGAACACCGGUGGUGUAAACGGCUUUCUGGACCAUAACUGACGCUGAGGCACGAAAGCGUGGGUAGCAAACAGG
rnacentral:rRNA from 1 species